rnacentral:rRNA from 1 species
GAUGAACGCUAGCGGCAGGCCUAAUACAUGCAAGUCGAACGGUGGUAGCAAUACCAUAGUGGCGCACGGGUGCGUAACACGUAACUAACCUACCUAUAACUGGGGGAUAGCCCGCCGAAAGGCGGAUUAAUACCGCAUAAGCUUGUGAGAUGGCAUCAUCUUAUUAGUAAAGAUUUAUUGGUUAUAGAUGGGGUUGCGGGUCAUUAGCUAGUUGGUAAGGUAACGGCUUACCAAGGCGACGAUGACUAGGGGAGCUGAGAGGCUGGUCCCCCACACGGGCACUGAGAUACGGGCCCGACUCCUACGGGAGGCAGCAGUAGGGAAUAUUGGGCAAUGGGCGAGAGCCUGACCCAGCCAUGCCGCGUGCANGAAGAAAGCUUUCUGGGUCGUNAACUGCUUUUGACAGGGAAGAAUAAGGCUUACGUGUANGCUGAUGACGGUACCUGCAGAAUAAGCACCGGCUAACUCCGUGCCAGCAGCCGCGGUAAUACNGAGGGUGCGAGCNGUGUCCGGAUUNAUGGGUUUAAGGUGCGUAGCGGCCCGUUAGUCCGGGGUGAAGCCCGUUGCUCAACAACGGAACUGCCCUGGAUACUGACGGGCUUGAGUACAGACGAGGUUGGCGGAAUGGACUGAGUAGCGGUGAAAUGCAUAGAUACAGUCCAGAACCCCGAUUGCGAAGGCAGCUGACUAGGCUGUUACUGACGCUGAGGCACGACAGCGUGGGGAGCGAACAGGAUUAGAUACCCUGGUAGUCCACGCCGUAAACGAUGGAUACUCGCUGCGAGCUAAAGAUUGUUCGUGGCUUAGGGAAACCGAUAAGUAUCCCACCUGGGGAGUACGCCGGCAACGGUGAAACUCAAAGGAAUUGACGGGGGCCCGCACAAGUGGUGGAGCAUGUGGUUUAAUUCGAUGAUACGCGAGGAACCUUACCUAGGCUAGAAUGCGCGUGACCGGCUCAGAGAUGAGCCUUUCCUUCGGGACACAAAGCAAGGUGCUGCAUGGCCGUCGUCAGCUCGUGCCGUGAGGUGUUGGGUUAAGUCCCGCAACGAGCGCAACCCCUAUGGUUAGUUGCCAGCACGUAAUGGUGGGGACUCUAGCCAGACUGCCUGCGCAAGCAGUGAGGAAGGCGGGGACGACGUCAGGUCAUCAUGGCCCUUACGCCUAGGGCGACACACGUGCUACAAUGGACGGUACAGCGGGUAGCUACUGGGCGACCAGAUGCCAAUCUCGAAAAGCCGUUCUCAGUUCGGAUCGGAGUCUGCAACUCGACUCCGUGAAGCUGGAAUCACUAGUAAUCGCGCAUCAGCCAUGGCGCGGUGAAUACGUUCCCGGGCCU